UAGCACAGCUGUUUCUAGGGUCUGGAAAAACUCUAAGGACCCCCAGGAGGAUACACACCAGAUUGGGUCUGGGCUCACACCACCCUGCAUCCCCAGAGCCUCCCUGGACGCUGUUUGCAAGGUCCUCACCGCCUGGAAGUCCAGGAGCCAUUUUUAGGGAACAGCAUUCAAACUCAACACGGCAAGUUCCCUCUUUCCUGCAGGGGAGGACCAGAAGGGAGCCGGAGAUGGGGGAGAAGGGUGGGAGGUGGAUGGUUUGGAAAAGGGAUGGAGACCCAGACAGAGCGAAGCCAGCCAGCCAGGGUGAGGGAACAAGCUGCUGUGCUGCCCAGGAGAGGCCUGGCCUCAGGCUGCCACCCUCAGGGAGGUAGACGCGGCUGUGACAGCAGCACAGAAUGACGGCCAAGGGCGACAGCAGGGGCUGGCCAUGCUGUAAAGGGGCUUCCUGGGAGGGUCCAGCCUCAGGAAUCAACGGGAAAUCCUGAGCCGAGAAUUCUGAAGAUCUCCUCCCUCCCUGAAGCUGUGGGCUGGGCCGUCGGAAAACUUUCAGUUUUGUUUCCUUGCCUGCAAGAAACGAAACUCAACCGAAAGCCUGCAGAGAGCAGAACAUGGAAGGAGACUUCUCGGUGUGCAGGAACUGGUAAGAAAGCGCUUUCUCCAGCGGCAGACCCGGGCUGGCGAGGGAGAGACGCAGACGACAUAGGGCUGUUUCUGAAGGGAGCAGAAAGUGGUUCCUGCAUAAGAACACUUAGGAGGACAAGCAGCUGGAGACCGUGGGCCCCAAGGUAAAAGACAUGUAGUCUCUGCCAACUUCACCCUCCAUGAGGCUUACUGCCUGCGGUUCCUGGUCCUGUGUCCGGAGUGUGAGGAGCCUGUCCCCAAGGAAACCACGGAGGAGCACUGCAAGGUGGAGCACCAGCAGGUGAGGAGGCGGCAGGGAGGAUGGGGUCUGAGAGUCAAGGCGAGUGUUCAGUCCUCCCUGCAGGAGAGAUGGGGUCUGAGAGGUGGGGGAUGAGGGUCUAGUCCUCCCUGCAGGUGAGAUGGGGUCUGGGAGUCAAGGUGAGUGUUCAGUCCUCCCUGCAGGUGAAAUGGGGUCUGGGAGGGGCAAGUGUUCCAUCUUCCCUGCAGGAGAGAUGGGGUCUGGGAGUCACGGAGUGGGUCCAGUCCUCCCUGCAGGAGAGAUGGGGUCUGGGAGUCACGGAGUGGGUUCAGUCCUCCCUGCAGUUGAAAUGGGGUCUGGGAGGGGCAAGUGUUCCAUCUUCCCUGCAGGAGAGAUGGGGUCUGGGAGUCACGGAGUGGGUCCAGUCCUCCCUGCAGGAGAGAUGGGGUCUGGGAGUCACGGAGUGGGUCCAGUCCUCCCUGCAGGAGAGAGGGGGUCUGGGAGUCACAGAGUGGGUCCAGUCCUCCCUGCAGGAGAGAUGGGGUCUGGGAGUCACAGAGUGGGUCCAGUCCUCCCUGCAAGAGAGAUGGGGUCUGGGAGUCACAGAGUGGGUCCAGUCCUCCCUGCAGGAGAGAUGGGAUCUGGGAGUCACAGAGUGGGUCCAGUCCUCCCUGCAGGAGAGAUGGGGUCUGAGAGUUGGGGGACGAGGGUCCAGUCCUCCCUGCAGGUGAGAUGGGGUCUGGGAGGGGCAAGUGUUCCAUCCUCCCUGCAAGAAAGAAGGGGUCUGGGAGUCAGGGAAUGGGUCCAGUCCUCCCUGCAGGAGAGAUGGGGUCCGGGAGUUGGGGUGAGGGCUGGGGACUUAAGGCAAGGGUCCAGUUCCCCAGGCAGAGACUCACUUGAGGGCCAUGGGAAGUCAUUUAUCCCCUCCACACGAAGCCCCAUGGAAAGGAAAUGUUAAUCCUGCCUUUUUCAUGCUAAUCUGAGUCUACCUCCAAUUUUCCCAUUUCCAAUCCUUUCCCUACAGGCUUAUGGAUCUGGCAUAGGCAAGAGGUUCUGGUUUCAGGAAAGACUGGCUGUUCUCUUGAGAUCUGUAAAGAGAGGAUGUGAAAAAGGAAGGUCCUGGAAGGCAGUCAGAUGGAGCCCUGUUUCCCGCCUUUCCAUGUCCAUUCCUCCUGGGGCCCCUGAUCUGUCUCUCUGGAGAUACUCAAGCUCAGGCAGCCGUUGCCAACUCAGACUGGUCUGAGAAACACUUCUUGAACACUGGGCUGGGUGCUAGAGAGACACUGAGGUAGCCACAUCGGAUCCCUGCCCUCUGGGAGUUCACAGACCCAAACCCGGAACACCGUGAGCCAAAGUGGAUGUAGGGCAGGCUCUGGGUGUUGGGUGGACCCACAUCUGGUGUGUGUGUGUGUGUGUGUGUGUGUGUGUGUUUAGGUUGGGUGUACGAUGUGUCAGCAGAGCAUGCAGAAGUCCUCGCUGGAGUUUCAUAAGGCCAAUGAGUGCCAGGAGCGCCCUGUUGAGUGUAAGUUCUGCAAACUGGACAUGCAGCUCAGCAAGCUGGAGCUCCACGAGUCCUACUGUGGCAGCCGGACAGAGCUCUGCCAAGGCUGUGGCCAGUUCAUCAUGCACCGCAUGCUCGCCCAGCACAGAGAUGUCUGUCGGAGUGAACAGGCCCAGCUCGGGAAAGGGGAAAGAAUUUCAGCUCCUGAAAGGGAAAUCUACUGUCAUUAUUGCAACCAAAUGAUUCCAGAAAAUAAGUAUUUCCACCAUAUGGGUAAAUGUUGUCCAGACUCAGAGUUUAAGAAACACUUUCCUGUUGGAAAGCCAAAAAUUCUUCCUUCAUCUCUUCCAAGUCAAGUUGCUGAAAAUCAAACUUCCACGAUGGAGAAAGAUGUUCGUCCAAAGACAAGAAGUAUAAAUAGAUUUCCUCUUCAUUCUGAAAGUUCAUCAAAGAAAGCACCAAGAAGCAAAAACAAAACCUUGGAUCCACUUUUGAUGUCAGAGCCCAAGCCCAGGACCAGCUCCCCUAGAGGAGAUAAAGCAGCCUAUGACAUUCUGAGGAGAUGUUCUCAGUGUGGCAUCCUGCUUCCCCUGCCGAUCCUAAAUCAACAUCAGGAGAAAUGCUGGUGGUUAGCUUCAUCAAAAGGAAAACAAGUGAGAAAUUUCAGCUAGAUUUGGAAAAGGAAAGGUGCUACAAAUUCAAAAGAUUUCACUUUUAACACUGGCUUUCCUGCCUACUUGCUGUGGUGGUUUUGUGAAAAGUGAUGGGUUUUAUUCGUUGGGCUUUAAAAGAAAAGGUUUGGCAGAACUAAAAACAAAACUCACGUAUCAUCUCAAUAGAUACAGAAAAGGCUUUUGAUAAAAUUCAACUUGACUUCAUGUUAAAAACCCUCGACAAACCAGGCAUUGAAGGAACAUACCUCAAAAUAAUAAGAGCCAUCUAUGACAAAACCACAGCCAACAUCAUACUGAAUGAGCAAAAGCUGGAGCAUUACCCUUGAGAAGUAGAACAAGGCACUUCAGUCCUAUUCAACAUAGUACUGGAAGUCCUCACCACAGCAAUCAGGCAAGAGAAAGAAAUAAAAGGCAACCAAAAAGAGAGGAAGUCGAAGUAUCUCUGUUUGCCGACGAUAUGAUUCUAUAUCUAGAAAACCCCAUGAUCUUGGCCCAAAAGCUCCUAGAUCUGAUAAACAACUUCAGCUAACUUUCAGGAGACAAAAUCAAUAUACAAAAUACAGUAGCAUUUUUAUACACCAACGACAUCCAAGCUGAGAGCCAAAUCAAGAAUGCAAUCCUAUUCACAAUUGCCACAAAAAGAAUAAAAUACCUAGGAAUACAG
rnacentral:lncRNA from 1 species